CCGUAACUUAGGGAUAAGGGGUGCCACCAUCAGGUGGCCGCAGAGAAUAGGCCCAAGCGACUGUUUACCAAAAACAUAGGUUUCUGCUAAGUCGAAAGACGAUGUAUAGGAGCUGACGCCUGCCCGGGGCUGGAAGGUUAAGGGGAUCUGUUAGAGCAAUCGAAGCAGGGAACUUAAGCCCCAGUAAACGGCGGCCGUAACUAUAACGGUCCUAAGGUAGCG
rnacentral:rRNA from 1 species